rnacentral:rRNA from 1 species
CUCUCCCUCUGGCUUCAGGCCUAACACAUGCAAGUCGAACGAACCUUUCGGGGUUAGUGGCGGACGGGUGAGUAACACGUGGGAACGUGCCUUUAGGUUCGGAAUAACUCAGGGAAACUUGUGCUAAUACCGAAUGUGACCUUCGGGGGAAAGAUUUAUCGCCUUUAGAGCGGCCCGCGUCUGAUUAGCUAGUUGGUUGAGGUAAUGGCUCACCAAGGCGACGAUCAGUAGCUGGUCUGAGAGGAUGAUCAGCCACAUUGGGACUGAGACACGGCCCAAACUCCUACGGGAUGCAGCAGUGGGGAAUCUUGCGCAAUGGGCGAAAGCCUGACGCAGCCAUGCCGCGUGAAUGAUGAAGGUCUUAGGAUUGUAAAAUUCUUUCACCGGGGACGAUAAUGACGGUACCCGGAGAAGAAGCCCCGGCUAACUUCGUG